GACGAGGGGUCCAAGCGUUGUUCGGAAUCAUUGGGCGUAAAGCGGGUGUAGGCGGCUCUAUAAGUCAGGAGUGAAAGCCCCGAGCUUAACUUGGGAAGUGCUUUUGAUACUGCAGAGCUUGAAUGUGGGAGAGGGUAGUGGAAUUCCAGGUGUAGUGGUGAAAUACGUAGAUAUCUGGAGGAACACCGGUGGCGAAGGCGGAUCUCUGGGCCGAUACUGACGCUGAGGAGCGAAAGCGUGGGGAGCGAACAGG
rnacentral:rRNA from 1 species